ACUGUCAAAGAGCUAUUACGGUUGGCUGCAUAGAAUUCCGAGGAAAGACAAAUCUGUGCAAUUUUCUCCUUGGAGAAAAAAUGGUUCUUUUGGUGCUUUUAGGUUUUCCUGAACUAUUUUGGUAAAGAAAAAAAUUAAUUAGUUUUUAAUUCUUUUCUUUAUUUUUUAUAUGUAUACGAUAAUACUAGGGGCUUUAUCUGGGCUGAAACCUUUACUAUGAAUGUGUAGCUCUCUGAUGGAUGCACAUUAGCAUUCCAGUAUGUGGAUGUUCUUUUACAUCCUGCUGCUUUGCAGUCUUGUGUUACUCUCCCAGGACUAUGGGUAUUUCCUCUCAUUCAGGUCUUGCCCACUGAUCAGCUGCAUAUUCUUCUUGGAAGAAAAAGGAUGGAAAAUCCCACACUGACUUGCGGUAAUAAAAGAGCAGAACAAUUUUCAGUUCCUAUUGCUGCAAGUAAUUUCUUUGUACUCCUGAAUUCUGCCCCUGUCAUACUGUCAGUAGCUGGUGGUUAGCAAUGUAUCUUGAAGUUCAAAGCAGAGGUCUGCACCUUUGAAAAGGUGUUGGAACAGAAAGCCAAAAACUUUUUUAUCUAAAUAAUGGUUUCUUUGUGUCACACAAGGCCAUGGCAAAAACUAUUCCAUGAGUGGUUAAACCUCCAAGGGUCCUUGUGUCACUGCAAACCAGAAAUUUGGAGGAGCUUACUGUGGUGUUCUGAAACCUAGUUUCCAUCAAGCUGUGAGAUGGUUAAGUAGGUCCUUGGCCAUAAGAAAAAUUCAGAGAAGAAAUCUUCUGUAUAUGGGGAGAAAAUAGCCUUCAUGCAGACAUGGAUGGCCCUCACACUGUAACAUGGAUCCAAAACCAUGGAUAUUUCAAGGAGCCAUUUUAAACAUCAGAGAAAGUGAAGAGCAGGAAUGAAAUCUACCUGACUGAACAAAGACCAGCAUAGAAAGCAUAGCCACU